rnacentral:rRNA from 1 species
CAAUAGCGUAUAUUUAAGUUGUUGCAGUUAAAAAGCUCGUAGUUGGAUUUCGGGUGGGACGCAGCGGUCUCGCAUUGCGUUUGUACUGCUGCAGCCCUCCUUCUUGCCGGGGGCGGCCUCUCGGACUUCACUGUCUGGGGGUCAGAAUCGGCGAUGUUACUUUGAGUAAAUUAGAGUGUUCAAAGCAAGCUUACGCUCUGAAUAUAAUAGCAUGGGAUAACACGACAGGACUCUGGCCUAUCGUGUUGGUCUGUAGGACCGGAGUAAUGAUUAAGAGGAACAGUCGGGGGCAUUCGUAUUCCAUUGUCAGAGGUGAAAUUCUUAGAUUUAUGGAAGACGAACAUCUGCGAAAGCAUUUGCCAAGGAUGUUUUCAUUGA